rnacentral:ncRNA from 2 species
UGAUAGUGUAAGGGAAUGGGUGCUUUGUGCUUAAUAGGGAAGUCCGGUGUAAUACCGGCACGGUCCCGCCACUGUAAUGGGGAUGCUUCCUAAAUUUGCCACUGGGAAACCGGGAAGGCUUAGGGCGGCGAUGAACCAGAGUCAGGAGACCUGCCUGUUCUAACACACGCCG